AACUCUCAACAACGGAUAUCUUGGCUCUCGCAGCGAUGAAGAAC
rnacentral:rRNA from 1 species